CAAGCGUUGUCCGGAUUUAUUGGGCGUAAAGCGCGCGCAGGCGGUCUUUUAAGUCUGAUGUGAAAGCCCCCGGCUUAACCGGGGAGGGUCAUUGGAAACUGGAAGACUGGAGUGCAGAAGAGGAGAGUGGAAUUCCACGUGUAGCGGUGAAAUGCGUAGAUAUGUGGAGGAACACCAGUGGCGAAGGCGACUCUCUGGUCUGUAACUGACGCUGAGGCGCGAAAGCGUGGGGAGCAAACAGGAUUAGAUACCCUGGUAGUCCACGCCGUAAACGAUGAGUGCUAAGUGUUAGGGGGUUUCCGCCCCUUAGUGCUGCAGCUAACGCAUUAAGCACUCCGCCUGGGGAGUACGACCGCAAGGUUGAAACUCAAAGGAAUUGACGGGGGCCCGCACA
rnacentral:rRNA from 1 species